GAUGAGACUGGGAUGGCAGUCCCCUCCCCCUCUCAUGCUCCCUUUGUUUCACUCCUCCCUUAGUCUGAAGUUCAGAAAAGAAUUAGAAUUUGAAUCCCGUUAUAAGCUGCCAACCUGCUGGUCUGCAGGCAAAGUACCUUUUUCCUUGGGAAGCCAGUCUGGUCUCUGAGAUCCUCAGUCGUCUGAAUGACCACUGGAUAUGCGGUGAAGUGUCAUCUACUUAUUCAGCGUUCACUGAUCGAAACACUAAUCCUUGUUUUGAAAUUCCUCCGUAGAAACAUUGAGAGCAAGGGCUGGCUAAAUGCAUGACUGCUGUGGCCCGGAACAUCUGAAUGGCCUAUCCUAAAUGAGUUACACACACAGCUACUACCCUUUCUUCAUGAGAUUUUACAACAAGCUCUCCAAGGCUGGCUUCUCUAAACAGGAUUUACUUUAACUGAGGCCACGAGAAAACUGGAAACAGGAGAAAGCCUGGAACCAAAGAAGGUCUUGUGACUUACUGUUUACCUGGAAGCCUGAAGUGUGUGUUAUAGUUUCACCGCACUGAGAGGCCAAGCCUGCAUCUUUCAUCAUACAAAGAGCCUGCUGUGUCCUCCUGGGAUCUAUCAGUGAAGCACAGAGAUUCCCACUUAUUUUUUCCCUUUAGUUUUAUUCUGCCUGUUUGUUGACGUUGCCCAGAGCUUGUGUUCUAACUUUAUUACACCUGGUUGGUGAAGCCACCCUUCAUCUCUAGGAGAAAAUGACAGAAAGAUGUGGAAUCCGCCUCUGGAUGAGAACACAAAGUAGCUCUCAGAAGAAAAAGAAGUGGCCACACACAGGUAACAUUUUCAUGAGGUGACUCGGUGAGGUCAUGAGAUAGGCCCUACUCCACCCGUCUGGGAUGAGCUUGAUUGAGGCUGCUCUUUGGGUGCCUUUAAUUACAGGAUAAGGAUGGACUUGCAUCUCUGAAAGCAAACUUUGUCCAGGUCUCAAAGACUCACUUUGCUUUUCCAAAUUACCUCACCUGGGAGAGCCUAUUAACAGUCAUGGGAUGUCUCUGGAAAGAUACAUAGAAGACCUGGUGGUGACAUUGUUUCAUCUGGGGUGAGGGCAUUGGUACCAUGCCAGGGCACCUAAAAGGCUUGUUUCUCCUGGCAUAUGUUUGUAUGCCUUUGAACCAUGUAGAAUGUGAAAGUUCAUAUGGUAUGCACAUAUUACUUUCUUAAAACUAUCCACCUACUAUCUACCCGUAUCCAGCUAAUUAUUAGUAAGAAAAAGCCAUAAAGACAGAAGAGCCAAGGAGACCAUCCAUCUUCCUGGUUGAUAUUCCUGGUUAACUUUAUUUUUAAUUUUUUCUUUUCACAGAUACAGAGACCCUAAGCAAACAUUUUCCUGUUCUUGCUCAGAAUAGGCCAGGCACACUUUUAAUGAAAGUUCUCUGCAAAAGUUAUUAAUAUCUGAUGCUUGGCUACAUCUUGUUACAUUGUCUGUGCACAUAUCUUGCUACAUUAUCUGUGCCCAUUUUAAGCCUGCAUUCACACACCACUUUCUUCACAGGACCUGCCAUGAC
ensembl:lncRNA LOC102553457 uncharacterized LOC102553457